GGGGCCUUUCCCCCAACACCAAAGAGAGAGAGAGAGAGAGGACGGAAAGUUUAGAGAGCGAAAGUGGAGAAAAAAGCAGGUGGGAAUCACAUGGGCUGCUUGUUGUCUCUCGCUGCCUCCGCACCAUGAUCUUCUUCCUCAUCAGCAUCAUCGUCGUCACCCACUGAUUCUACCACAAGAUCCCCAAUCCACCGCCCCAUCAUGGCUGACGAUAAGGAAAUUUCUGGGCCUGUUGUUGAUGGAAAUGAUCCAACGGGUCACAUCAUUUCCACUACCAUUGGUGGCAAAAAUGGAGAACCUAAGCAGACCAUCAGUUACAUGGCAGAGCGUGUUGUGGGGACUGGAUCAUUUGGUAUUGUUUUCCAGGCAAAAUGCUUAGAAACUGGUGAGACCGUAGCUAUAAAGAAGGUUUUGCAGGACAGAAGAUAUAAGAAUCGUGAACUGCAGUUAAUGCGUGUGAUGGAUCAUCCAAAUGUGAUCUCUUUGAAGCACUGUUUCUUUUCCACGACUAGUAAGAAUGAACUUUUUCUCAACCUGGUUAUGGAAUAUGUACCUGAGACCAUGUAUCGGGUCUUGAGGCAUUACAGCAAUGCAAAUCAGAGAAUGCCACUAAUCUAUGUGAAGCUCUACAUGUACCAGAUCUUCAGGGGGCUGGCUUACAUACAUACUGUUCCUGGAGUUUGCCAUAGGGAUUUGAAGCCUCAAAAUCUUUUGGUUGAUCCUCUCACUCACCAGGUUAAGCUUUGUGAUUUCGGAAGUGCAAAAGUACUGGUCAAAGGUGAAGCUAACAUAUCAUACAUAUGCUCACGAUUCUAUCGGGCUCCCGAACUUAUAUUUGGUGCCACAGAAUAUACAACCUCAAUUGAUAUCUGGUCAGCUGGUUGUGUCCUUGCAGAGCUUCUUCUAGGGCAGCCACUGUUUCCUGGAGAAAAUGCGGUGGACCAGCUAGUAGAAAUUAUCAAGGUUCUUGGUACACCAACUCGUGAAGAAAUUCGUUGUAUGAAUCCAAAUUAUACCGAUUUUAGGUUUCCGCAGAUAAAAGCACAUCCUUGGCACAAGGUUUUCCACAAAAGGAUGCCUCCAGAAGCAAUUGAUCUGGCUUCAAGACUGCUGCAAUACUCACCUAGUCUUCGCUGUACAGCGCUAGAAGCGUGUGCUCACCCUUUCUUCGAUGAACUCCGAGAACCCAAUGCUCGCCUACCAAAUGGUCGCCCAUUGCCACUCCUUUUUAACUUUAAACAGGAAACAUAAUUUAUAAACGGCAGCCAAAAAGGCUUAAAUGUGCCUUUGUUGGGUGAUUAGAUGUCAGGGGCUUCACCAGAGCUUGUUAAUAGGUUGAUACCAGAGCAUGUGAAACGCCAAAUGGGUCUAAAUUUCAUGCAUCCAGCAGGCACAUAAGUGUGGAAAGUUAUGUGGGGAAUGUUUGUCUUCCAGUUGAUGUGUGACACAAGGAGGUACUAUCUUUGUGUUAGAAUUCCGAUGCGUUGCGACCUGAUGGGUAUCACUUCUUGCUGUUGCUCCACCCCGAUGCAUAGACUCAAGUGGCUGGAUAGCUGCGGUUACUUGAUGAGUUCUUUAAUACGGUUUCCUCCCUGUCCCUCCUGAAACUUUCUCUUUACAAACCUCCUUUCUUAAGACACCUUUUUGUUUUUGUACAUGUUUGAUAGUUAAGAUAGCUGGAGAUGUACUGAUCAGAAAGCUGCUAGCAGAGGAAAAGCUAGGGGAAAGUGUAUUUAUAGCUAGGAAGAAAGCCCCUAAUAGAAUGGCUGAACAAAAGGGGGUGAUCUUGUUGCUUGUUGGUAUGGUUUACGUGCAUGUUGUUUUCCUUUACUUCUUUGGUGAUUGACUUGUAUUUGCAGACAAAUUUGUUACCAACUGUUUGUGCGAUUAAAUGCUAUUGUUCUGUGUUAGUACCA